GACGAACGCUGGCGGCGUGCUUAACACAUGCUAGUCGAACGGACAGACAGAGAGCUUGCUCUCUUGAAGUUAGUGGCGAACGGGUGAGUAACGCGUAAUCAACCUGCCCUUCAGAGGGGGAUAACAACGGGAAACCGUUGCUAAUACCGCGUACGAUUCAUGAACGGCAUCGUUUAUGAAUGAAAGGUGGCCUCUAUGUAUAAGCUAUCGCUGAAGGAGGGGAUUGCGUCUGAUUAGCUUGUUGGAGGGGUAACGGCCCACCAAGGCAAGGAUAAGUAGCCGGGCUGAGAGAAUGAACGGCCACAUUGGGACUGAGACACGGCCCAAACUCCUACGGGAGGCAGAAGUGGGGAUUCUUCCGCAAUGGACGAAAGUCUGACGGAGCAACGCCGCGUGAGUGAUGAAGGUCUUCGGAUUGUAAAGCUCUGUUAAUCGGGACGAAAGAGUUCUGCGUGAAUAAUGCAGAAAAGUGACGGUACCGGAAUAGAAAGCCACGGCUAACUACGUGCCAGCGGCCGCCGUAA
rnacentral:rRNA from 1 species